GCCUACUUUUUGAUGAGAAAUUAGAAGAGUACCUAAUGUUGAAAACAUGACAUGCGCUCUUGGGAUCUGCUGUUCUCUUCACGGCUCCAGAACCUGAUACCUGUUACCAAAGCUAGGAAAGAGCUUUAUCACAAGCCUUCACUGUCCUGGCAUGAGAACUGGCUGCCAGGCUCAGUGUACCCCAUUAACUGUGAAUGAAUCUGAGCUUGGUUUCCUUGAUUGCAUCCUCUGUGAUAUAAUGAUUGCUGAAACACAUUUUAAAAAUUCAGAAGUUUGUCACUCCUGUUAAUGGGAGGAUCAUUCACACAUGUGUAGUACAAGGCAGACUUUGUGUUUGUUUUUGGUGUUGAUUUUUAGCAUUGUGUGUGUUGCUUCCCCACCCUGAGGAGAGGACACCAUGGCUUACUACUCAGGACAAGUAUGCCCUGCUCAGGGUGUGAUUUCAGGUGACUUCCAAACUUGUACACAGUUUAAAGAUGUGAACCCCACUUAAAGAAUAAGGAGCAUUUGAAUCUCUUGGAAAAGACCAUGAAGAAUAAAGCAGUCAAAAAGAAGUCCUCCAUGUUGGUGCGAAGGGCUUGCGAGGGGAAAUAAAAAUGUUAUCCAGCCUGACCAACAUGGGAGAAACCCUAUCUCUAUUAAAAAUACAAAACUAGCCUGGCAUAGUGGCGCAUGCCUGUAAUCCCAGCUACUCUGGAGGCUGAGGCAGGAGAAUCGCUUGAACCCAGGAGGCGGAGGUUGCAGUGAGCCAAGAUCACACCACUGCACUCCAACCUGGGGAACAAGAGUGAAACUCCACGUCAAAAAAAAAAAAAAAAAAAUGUUACUCAUCCUCUCUCAAAGCAAAAAGGAAACCCUGAAAGCUCUGAACUCUAGUUUUAUUUUUCUUGCUGUAUUUGGGUGAACAUUGUAUGAUUAGGCAUAAUGUUUUUUAAAAAAAAAAAAACCUUUUUUUUUGGUAGAAAUGCAAUCACCAGUAAAGAGGUGCGAAAAAGCCAGCCCCUCUUGGAGACUGGAGAGGCAGAGGACUACUACGGUAGGCGAAGUUCUGAUGGAAUCAUGCCUGUCAAAUGAGAUCUUAAAGCAGAUGCCCAAAUAAGAGAGUAUAUUAUAUUUUAUCUAAAUCUUAAGUGGGUAACAUUUUAUGCAAUUGAAAUGAAUGGAAUAUUUUCCUCUUGUUUAGUUGUAUCUGUUUAUAUUUUUCUUUGAUGAAUGAUUGGUCAUGAGGCCUCUUGCCACACUCCAGAAAUACGUGUGCGGCUGCUUUUAAGAAUUAUGUGUCUGGUCACUUAUUUCUCUAAAAUUAUCUCAUUGCCUGGCAAUCAGUCUUCUCUUGUAUACUUGUCCUAGCACAU
rnacentral:lncRNA from 1 species